rnacentral:rRNA from 1 species
GGAAUUCGAUUCAGGCCUAACACAUGCAAGUCGAACGGCAGCACGGACUUCGGUAUGGUGGCGAGUGGCGAACGGGUGAGUAAUGCAUCGGAACGUACCCGGAAGUGGGGGAUAACUUUCCGAAAGGAUGGUUAAUACCGCAUAUUCUGUGAGCAGGAAAGAGGGGGAUCGCAAGACCUCUUGCUUUCGGAGCGCCUGAUGUCAGAUUGGCUAGUUGGUGGGGUAAAGGCCUACCAAGGCGAUCGAUCUGUAGCGGGUCUGAGAGGAUGAUCCGCCACACUGGAACUGAGACACGGUCCAGACUCCUACGGGAGGCAGCAGUGGGGAAUUUUGGACAAUGGGGGCAACCCUGAUCCACCCAUGCCGCGUGAGUGAAGAAGAGCCUUCGGGUUGUAAAUUAAGGAGGUCGGGAAGAAAUCGUUUGGGUUAAUACCCUGAGCGGAUGACGGUCCGAC